GCGACAGGACGGAAAGACCCCGUGGAGCUUUACUGUAGCCUGAUAUUGAAAUUCGGCACAGCUUGUACAGGAUAGGUAGGAGCCUUUGAAACGUGAGCGCUAGCUUACGUGGAGGCGUUGGUGGGAUACUACCCUAGCUGUGUUGGCUUUCUAACCCGCACCACUUAUCGUGGUGGGAGACAGUGUCAGGCGGGCAGUUUGACUGGGGCGGUCGCCUCCUAAAAGGUAACGGAGGCGCUCAAAGGUUCCCUCAGAAUGGUUGGAAAUCAUUCAUAGAGUGUAAAGGCAUAAGG
rnacentral:rRNA from 1 species